UAUUAUUGUACAGUACAGUUUCGUACGUGUAUUAAGUACAGUUCUACAGAAUAUUAUAGUGUACGUCCGUGUUCGACCUUCCACUCCGGACGAUAAUGAGUGAUCGUAAAGUCGGGUUUACACGGUACGAAUUGCGUUGCGCUAUGCAAGCCGCCACACGCGACCGGUGUGAACGUUCGUAUAACUAUUCCAUACGCAGGUAUGUUUUUU